rnacentral:tRNA from 1 species
GCCGGGGUGGCGGAACUGGUUUACGCGACGAACUUAAAAUUCGUUGGGGCCGUAAGGUUCCUGGGGGUUCAAGUCCCCCUCCCGGCACCA